rnacentral:rRNA from 1 species
GACGAACGCUGGCGGCGUGCUUAACACAUGCAAGUCGAACGGAAAGGCCCUGCUUUUGUGGGGUGCUCGAGUGGCGAACGGGUGGGUAACACGUGAGUAACCUGCCCUUGACUUUGGGAUAACUUCAGGAAACUGGGGCUAAUACCGGAUAGGAGCUCCUGCUGCAUGGUGGGGGUUGGAAAGUUUCGGCGUUUGGGGAUGGACUCGCGGCUUAUCAGCUUGUUGGUGGGGUAGUGGCUUACCAAGGCUUUGACGGGUAGCCGGCCUGAGAGGGUGACCGGCCACAUUGGGACUGAGACACGGCCCAGACUCCUACGGGAGGCAGCAGUGGGGAAUAUUGCACAAUGGGCGGAAGCCUGAUGCAGCAACGCCGCGUGCGGGAUGACGGCCUUCGGGUUGUAAACCGCUUUCGCCUGUGACGAAGCGUGAGUGACGGUAAUGGGUAAAGAAGCACCGGCUAACUACGUG